UUCAGUCGCUGAAAAGACACGAACAUCAUCAGAGAAAGGAGCUCCCAUCAGUCCUGAACUGAUGCUACUGCAGGAAGAAUCAGCUAAAAAGCCACGAAUCACACCAGAAGUCACUGCAGUGCACAGUCAAUCUGAAUCGCCAUCAGGCAAUCGAAGGAAAAGGGAAGAAUCCCCAAAUCGUGAAGAUAUGAAUAAUAGUUCAGAUCCUACAGUCAGACCUCCUAAAAAGCCACGAAUCAUAACAGAAGUCACUGCGGUGCACAGUCAAUCU